rnacentral:rRNA from 1 species
CCAGACUCCUACGGGAGGCAGCAGUGGGGAAUAUUGGGCAAUGGGCGCAAGCCUGACCCAGCAACGCCGCGUGAAGGAAGAAGGCUUUCGGGUUGUAAACUUCUUUUGUCAGGGACGAAGCAAGUGACGGUACCUGACGAAUAAGCCACGGCUAACUACGUGCCAGCAGCCGCGGUAAUACGUAGGUGGCAAGCGUUAUCCGGAUUUACUGGGUGUAAAGGGCGUGUAGGCGGGACUGCAAGUCAGAUGUGAAAACCACGGGCUCAACCUGUGGCCUGCAUUUGAAACUGUAGUUCUUGAGUACUGGAGAGGCAGACGGAAUUCCUAGUGUAGCGGUGAAAUGCGUAGAUAUUAGGAGGAACACCAGUGGCGAAGGCGGUCUGCUGGACAGCAACUGACGCUGGGGAGCGAAAGCGUGGGGAGCAAACAGGAUUAGAUACCCUAGUA